rnacentral:rRNA from 1 species
CUGCUGCCUUCCGUAGGAGUUUGGGCCGUGUCUCAGUCCCAAUGUGGCCGUCCACCCUCUCAGGCCGGCUACUGAUCGUCGCCUUGGUGGGCCUUUACCCCGCCAACCAGCUAAUCAGACGCGGGUCCAUCCCAUACCACCUUGGUUUUCAAACAAAAAGCAUGCGCUUUCUGUUGUUAUGCGGUAUUAGCACCUAUUUCUAAGUGUUAUCCCCCUGUAUGGGCCAGGUUACCCACGCGUUACUCACCCGUCCGCCACUAAGCCUUUCCCCUUUUCCGU